rnacentral:lncRNA from 1 species
CUCUCUGUACUGCAAUCAAUUUCUUCCAGCUUUCUAAUAUCUCUCCCAUUAAGCCUUCUGAGGAGAGGAACUACACCUGUUUUAUCUUGGUAACUAGCACUUUGCACCAUGCCUGACACAGAGGAGGUGUUUUAAAACUGUCUUUCAAUGGAUUACCACAGAAAAAAGUUGCUCACCUCUAGAAGAUGCUAGAGCAGGUACAGUGGAAAGAGCAUGGACUUGGAGGGCAGACAAAGGCAUGGACUUCGUGUUGAACUGCAGGUUUGAGCCAAGGAAUGGUGAGGAAUAGAUUUCUCAACAAAGCAAGUGCUCACAUAAGCUGCUGAAGUCUUAAAUGGAGAGCAGAGAUAGCUGGAGUCCUGUGGGUACUUUAAGGGAGUUUCAGGUGUGAGCUCUACAUUAUGCUGAGAUGGCUAUGUACAAGUAUAUCCAGAAUGACGGUGGAUACGUUGAAAGUCCAAUCAACUGUGCUAAAUCUUGAAUCAGUUCUCUCUGUUGCCUUUUGCAGUAAAUAAGGAAAUAUGGAGUAAAAGAGUAAUCUUCCUGCUGAGCAUGUUUUGCGGUUGCCAGCGCUGCCCCGGGUGUGUCUGGAGGAACACUCCCUGUUGCCUAACAACUGCUGUAAUGUAACGGAAAUAGAAGCACGAUGCCACACAUCCCUCAGAAAACGACUUGGCCCUUGGCCCUCCUGUGGAUGAAGAGUAUAUUGAAGAGAAACUGGAUAUUUCUAAAUUUGCUAAGACUCGCUUUUCUCACUUGCUCUCAGAUCACACUACUUUUGAGUAGCCCAAAAUUUUGUUGCCAACUCAGCAAGUUAAGCAAACAAUAUUACAAAUCAUGUUGAAACUGAAGUGGUCCCCAUGGGCCAGUGAGUACGGUGCAGGUGGAGAAAAAAUUAGCUGCUGAGUUAGGACAAACUGCUCCAAUUUUGAAGGCACAAAUGGGCAUCAUCUUGGGCCCGGGUACUACCCAAGGUGGACCUCUCAAUCAGGCUCUUAUGCUCCCAGGUGUAGUUGUUGGGUGAACUCUCUCCCUGGAUGCUCAGGGACAGCAUCUCAGAGAGAGGUGAAUGGAAAAACCAUGAGACCCUGUACACACUCUAGGUGCAAUGGAUUACAAGGGUUGAUAGCUCUUCUUAGUAACCGAAAGCCUAUAUGCUCCAUCUUUCUUGAUGGCAAGGUCCCUGGGAAGGAGACAUUCUCUUAGAAUGUCAUUAAAUGACCAUAGAAUAAGCAUGAAGUGAGUGGAAUUAUGUGGAAGGGAUUCAGCAUUUUACCCAAGCACUGGGCAGCCCCUGGGUGUGGCUGUCCCUCCACAGUGGCCUGUCUGUCUAAGUCUUGACCCACCCACCCAGAUCCUCUUGGAAGCCACUGAUAGCAUUUGCCUCUGGGAAUUCUGCAGCCUUUGCUGAUGAGUCUCAGUUGACACCAUCUAUCAUUGCAGAUACAGAUGUCUCCAAAAGGCAAUUGCCAAAGGCUGUGCCACACAGCACACACCUGUCCAUGUGCAGAUUGAUUCUGUUAAACUCUUCAGCUAUCUUGUGGGCUGCUUUUCCCUGCCUCAUUAUCUGCCUGCAGACCUUCCUUCUGUGUUCUCUGCUCUUAGAGGUCAGAUUGAUCUGUAUUUUUAUCAAGAUGAGGAAGGAGAUGGUAGACUGUGAAUCAAGGAUCUACCUCUCCCAGUAAUUCACUGUGGCAUCUUGGGGCACCUGCUGGCCCUCUCUGAGCCUCCAUUUUCUUACCCACGAAAUGUGGAUUUGGACCCAGUUAUCUCCAACCACCCAAGAGUCUGUGAUUCUGCUACUAAGAAAAGCAAAAGGCAAGUACAAGAUAGCAUGUGUUUAGUUGCUGGGGAAAGCUCAGUCUAAUAUUAAAAAUAAUAAGUAUAAAAAUAAUCACCACCAUUCACUCGAGCUUGCUUUGCCAGUUCUGCACUGUGAUCUUUGCAGGGGUAAUCUUACUGAAUCCUCUGCUCCAACCCUACCAGGUGGGAACUACUUUUAUCUUUAUUUUUCUGAUGAGGAGAUUGAGCCUCAGAGAUGUUAAGCAACCUGCCGAAGCAGAGAGUUAAUAUGUCGGGAUUCAUCACAGGCAGAUCCCUCUGCUCUUGGGAAGCCCAGACCUCAGAAGCAGGAGUGGGUCUGAUUCAGGUGUGCUCUGAGGGCCAGCUGUCCUUUCCAAAAAUGCCUUCCUUUAUUUAGACACCAACAUCCUUGCUAUUUUGGAUUUUUCAAUGAGCUUCCUUAUUUUCUCCCUAUUCUGUCCUAUUCAGCAAAAUGAAUGAAUAAAUAUAGGUUCCUAAUGUUACAAAUUUAAUUUUCUUCUAGAAAUGAAAGUGUUUAUUUCUCUUCUUUUAUUUCUCAAGCCAAAAUAAUUAUUUCCUCCUUCUUAGAAGUCCAGGAAUAGGUUAAACUUUAAUUAAAAGUCUUAUGGUUCAACAGUUGGAAUGAGGAUCAGGUAAUAACGAAGAAACCCCGUAAACACCCUGAGGAGAACCAGCACCCCCUCCAUUGGUUGUUUUAGCUCAGCCCACAGCUAACAGCUCAGCUCAGAAAGUUCCUACCACCCACUCCGCUUCUAACGCCUUUUAAUAUUCGCACAGAGUUUUCUCACAUUGUGGCUCUCACACACUUCCUUUAUACAUGCUGUUUCCUCAGCCUGGAAUGCCACCUCUUUCUUUACCUGGAGAACCCCUGUCCCUUAAAGACGCAGGUCAGAAGUCACGUAGUACUCCUCUGCUACCACCUAAUGCAAAGCGUGAUUAUUCCUUCACUUCUCUUCUGCAUUUAAAUUAUUGAGGGAAGAGGCUUGGUCUCAUUGCCUUUGGAAUAGCUCUGGAUCUGCGUUCAUGUUUUGUAUAUAAUACGACUCAGUAAAGGUUGUGUAAUAUAUGACUUUCAUAUGUGUGUAUGCAAAGAUAAUGU